CCCGUUUUCUUCUCUCUCCUCCCUCCCGUUUUCUUCUCUCUCCUCCCUCCCGUUCGUUUUCUUCUAGCUCUCUCCUCCAUCAGAUCCUCUCCUUCAAUCUAUUCAUCUUCUGCAACAUCAAAAUGCUCGAAAAAAAUCCAUAAACAAAAACUCGAGAUCUAAUUGGUGAAUGGGGAAGAAAUCGAGUUCAGAAUCACGCUACAUCCGUCUCUAUUAGAUUUGAGGAUGCAUUCAAGCCAGAUCCAAAUGCUGCUGAGGUAGAAACAAUAUUUGAUGCUCCCUUGGAAAUGUUCAUCAAGGAUGAAAAUCACAGAGCGGAGGAAAGAGAAUGGAUGUGAUGCAAGUACUUGAUUCAUUAGUUUGAUUAUGAAACAGUUACAAAGAGUAUGUGAUAUGGGGUCUAACUGCUGGGAUCUUGAUUCGGCAUCAGUUCUUUAUCAAAGACCACCACCAUUUGUGGAGCAGAAUCCCAAAUUUAAGGUUCCUACAAACCGAUGAUUAGGUGCCUCAACCACCAACUGAUUAUGUGUCAAGCCUUCAUUUUAGUCCCAAGGCUAAUCAUCUUAUUGCAACUUCAUGGGAUAAUCAGAAUACCCUGUUCGACCUGAUCUUGGCUGCUAAUUACCUGGACAUCAAGAGUCUGCUGGAUUUAACCUGCCAAACCGUGGCCGAUAUGAUCAAAAGAAAAACCCCGGAGGAGAUCAGGAAGAUCUUCCAUAUCAAGAACGAUUUCACCGAGGAAGAGGAGGCGGAGAUUAAGAAGAACCAGUGGGCCUUUGAAUGAUCCAACUUCAUUGCAGCAACCAUUCACUACUAAGGUGAUAUUAAGCCCAUCCGACCUCCUUCCUCCACUUGAGCCCGCGGCAUCAUACACUGCGAAACCAAUGACUUUGGUGACAAAUGUAUACCCAGGAUUUUGGAAAGAUUUGAAUUGCUCAUUCUUUAGCUCAAUGAGAAAAUGCAAUAUCACCUCCAGAACUCCUGUGUGUCGUCAGCAUACACAUGUAUAUGGUGAAGCUAAUAUGGCGAUGUUCCAAAUUUAAGUAGAUUCUUUGAAUAUUGUUUUGGAGCUUCAAGAAACCGAGAAACAGAAUUCUGGUGGUUCAUUUAAUGAUGCGAGAGUUUCAGUAACAGUGAUUACAAUACGAUGAAAGCAGAGUCAUCGCAA